GGGGCAUUAGCUCAGCUGGGACGAGCGCCGCGCUGGCAGCGCGGAGGUCAGGGGUUCGAUCCCCCUAUGCUCCACCA
rnacentral:tRNA from 1 species